CGUUUCCUUCAACUAGGAUACUACCAGUGUACGUAUACAACAUGUGUAGUGAAAAAAAUAUUGGACCCCUCAUCGAUCGUUUCUGACUGCAGACAUAUUGUUGUGUAUGAUACUUCAUCUCUCCCCAUGUGCUGCGUGAUACUUGCAGAAGCAAGAAACUUAACAGCUAUUAUUUCUACAGUUCUCACCCUUGGAUUUUUGAAUGAUUCCUCCAGCUCCAUUCUCAGAAGUCAAAAUGACCGUGGCGACCUGAAAUCGCGCAGUGUAAUGUCUGGAAAUGGAGAAUUACAG
rnacentral:lncRNA from 1 species